GUGCAGUAGUCGUGGCCGAGUGGUUAAGGCGAUGGACUAGAAAUCCAUUGGGGUCUCCCCGCGCAGGCUACUUCUGGCUCUCACAUGGACAUUGAUAUUUACACUUCCUCUGUGCUGGAUUAUAUCAACACCACCAUUGACAGUGUUACAACCCAGUAACAGAUCACCACAUACCCAAACCAUGGAUGAAUAAGGAUGUACGGCUCCUGCUCCAGGCCCGUAACACUGCCUUCAGAUCAGGUGAUGCACAGGCAUCAAAAGGCCAAGCACUGCUAUAAGCUAAAGGUAGAGGGACGCUUCUCCAACUCCGAAAACAGACGCAUGUUGCAGAGCAUCCAGGCCUUCAGCGACUAUAAGCCCAGCAACUUCCCCAUCAACUACAGACAUCUCAUUUCUGAACUAGCUAAAUUACUUAUGCUUUUAACAACAGAGAGACAACCACUAAAAACAGACCCUCUGAAACCUUCCAGACCAUCACACACCACCUCCGACUUCUAUGCAGCACAAGGCAGAAUCAACUCACACAAGGCUGACAGACCAGAUGGCUGUUUCUUUACUGAACUCUGCCUCCCGGUGACCACCCACCUCUGUAUAUUAUGUCGAUAGCAUCUGUAUAUUUGUCUAUAUAACACCCUGUAUAUCAUGUCUAUAAUACCCAACCUGUAUAUCUUGUCCAUAGCAUAUUCAUCUGCUAUUUCACAUUGCCAGAACAAGGAAACGCACCAAUAAGAGUACAUCACUGCACUCCAUGUGAAAAUUUUUUAGUAGCGGAGAAGCAGACAGGACAGUUUCCUCAAAUUUUCAGCUGGAAAUUACUCAUAAACUUAUUAAUUAGAAUAAGGUCUAAUGCAAGGAGUGGAUAAUUUAAUCAGAAAUGCAUGUGCACCUUGUUUUUUUUUUCAUUUGCCACUCAAAAGCUAAGAAAGAGAAAAAAAGUCUCCCUUUUGCAAUGCAUGAUUUGUGCGUGUGUGUACAGUACAUGUGUGCAUGUGUGUACAUGUCUGUGGGGGUUUUCUAGAUGUAGAAAUUUCACCAGAAAUUGGCAACCCUUGCUUAAUGCUGUUAGCUGUAUUAUUGUGCCACAGUAUGAGAUAAUAAAAAAAAAAAAAAAAAAACAGAAAUGUUCAAAAGCCAUUUAUUUUUUAUUGAAUACCAACUUUAGCUUACAUAGUUUAGUUUUUAGUGGUAUGGUCCUUAGGUCCUAUAUGAUUUUCUGUUAAUGACUUACCAGUAAACAUAUAUUUGGCAGGUUAAAGUCAUAAAAUAUAUCUUCAGUUAGGAGCAAAU